AACUGGGAUUAGAUACCCCNCUAUGCUCCUCACCNAAACCUUGGAAAGAUUUNCUACAGCAUUAACUCGCCUGGAAACUACGAGCGAAAGCUUCANACUCANGGGGUCNGGCGGCACUUUAAACUAUCNUAGAGGAGCCUGUCCUAUAAUCGAUUAUCCCCGUUAAACCUUACCUUCUCUUGCAAUUGGUCAGCCUGUAUACCGCCGUNGUCAGCUUUCCCCCNNUAAAGGCUAUCUAAGUNAGGCAAGACUGGUUCUACCCAAAACGCCAGGUCGAGGUGCAGCUUACGAGAAGGAAAGUGGUGGGCUACAUUUCCUGNNACUAGGAAACANCGAAUAGUAUGUUGAAAAAUGUACAUUGAAGGUGGAUUUAGAAGUAAAUAAAAAAUAGAGUGUUUUAUUGAAAAAGNUAUUANNCGCGGGGCUNAAGCNGGG
rnacentral:rRNA from 1 species